rnacentral:tmRNA from 1 species
UUUAUUGAAUCUCUUCUAAAUGCUUUUAUAUUAAUAAUGUUGGUUUUCCAACUAUGACGAUAAACGAAUUUCGUAAUAACCAUUGCGGACGUGGGGGCAGUACCCACCACCUCCACCAUACAACUUAUGGGGGUGAACUAGAUUCGACGAGUGACUAAAAGUUAUUCUUUUGUUCGGGAUUGUUCCACCGUAACGGGCUAAUUUAUAAUUGCUAACGAAAGUUACGCACUUGCUGCCUAAUUAACACUGUUAAUUAAGUAGACGGGGUCCGGGGCACCUGGCAACAGAACGCCCCUUGA